rnacentral:lncRNA from 10 species
GUUUUGAACUGGGGCACAUUUUUAACCUAAGAAGGGAAUACAGGUUGUCUCGUGAGGUGGUUGUGCAGUUCAAAUGAGAUUACAAACGUGAAAGCUUGUGAAGCUCAAUGAUGUACAUUCAUGGAGUCCUCAUUGUACAAACUGGCCCUUCUUGGUAACCUUUAGAGUUCCCUCCCAGGCUGUAAGCUGCAAGAGGGCAGGGACCAGGUCUGAUUGUAUUCAUCAUGUAUCACAAUGUUUAGCAGAAGGGUUCAUGUGGGUGUUCAAUAAAGUUUUGCUGAGUAGGUAAAUAAAUGAAUUAAUGAAUCCUGUUAUGCUCUGAACAGUUCCUAUUAUUUGUUCCUUAAGCAGUUCCUUCAAUAGUGGUCUUAUUGUAUGGCUGGCUCAGUGAAAAACACUCUAACUCAACCUCCUGUGACUUACUAGUGUGCCAGGAGACUGGGAGAAUUCUGGAUGGUACUGUCAGAGGCAUUCAAACCAGAGAAACUCCAUUUUGAAUGAGGGCUAGGAAAAUGAGACUGAGACUGGCUGGGCUGCAUUCUCGGGAAGUUAGGCUUUCUUAGCCUCUAGAUGUUUACAGCUAAGGGAACAAAUUAAUAGUGUUUACUAAACAAACCCAGACUUGGGAGUGUCCAGAUAUCCCGAUAUCUGGAGAACAAAGGCAUUCCUAAUUUUGCUUUAAAGAUAAUAUUGAUUCUUGCAAAAUAUAGUAAUUUAUUUAUUUAUCACAAACUCUUGUAGCAGAGCACAUCUCCCUAUAUAUACGAGCGAUGUACCUAGCAUGGAAUCGUUCCUCCUCUUACUUUCGGCAACAUCCUACUUUGUCUAUGGAGUAGGUGUCCUUUCACCACUUUGCUUUCUUAAUAAACUGGCUUUUACUUUA